rnacentral:rRNA from 1 species
UAGCUACAGGCUUAACACAUGCAAGUCGAGGGGAAACGACAUCGAAAGCUUGCUUUUGAUGGGCGUCGACCGGCGCACGGGUGAGUAACGCGUAUCCAACCUGCCCACCACUUGGGGAUAACCUUGCGAAAGUAAGACUAAUACCCAAUGAUAUCUCUAGAAGGCAUCUGAAAGAGAUUAAAGAUUUAUCGGUGAUGGAUGGGGAUGCGUCUGAUUAGCUUGUUGGCGGGGUAACGGCCCACCAAGGCAACGAUCAGUAGGGGUUCUGAGAGGAAGGUCCCCCACAUUGGAACUGAGACACGGUCCAAACUCCUACGGGAGGCAGCAGUGAGGAAUAUUGGUCAAUGGACGAGAGUCUGAACCAGCCAAGUAGCGUGCAGGAUGACGGCCCUAUGGGUUGUAAACUGCUUUUAUAAGGGAAUAAAGUGAGAGUCGUGACUCUUUUUGCAUGUACCUUAUGAAUAAGGACCGGCUAAUUCCGUGCCAGCAGCCGCGGUAAUACGGAAGGUCCGGGCGUUAUCCGGAUUUAUUGGGUUUAAAGGGAGCGUAGGCCGGAGAUUAAGCGUGUUGUGAAAUGUAGAUGCUCAACGUCUGCACUGCAGCGCGAACUGGUUUCCUUGAGUACGCACAAAGUGGGCGGAAUUCGUGGUGUAGCGGUGAAAUGCUUAGAUAUCACGAAGAACUCCGAUUGCGAAGGCAGCUCACUGGAGCGCAACUGACGCUGAAGCUCGAAAGUGCGGGUAUCGAACAGGAUUAGAUACCCUGGUAGUCCGCACGGUAAACGAUGGAUGCCCGCUGUUGGUCUGAAUAGGUCAGCGGCCAAGCGAAAGCAUUAAGCAUCCCACCUGGGGAGUACGCCGGCAACGGUGAAACUCAAAGGAAUUGACGGGGGCCCGCACAAGCGGAGGAACAUGUGGUUUAAUUCGAUGAUACGCGAGGAACCUUACCCGGGCUUGAAUUGCAGAGGAAAGAUUUGGAGACAAUGACGCCCUUCGGGGUCUCUGUGAAGGUGCUGCAUGGUUGUCGUCAGCUCGUGCCGUGAGGUGUCGGCUUAAGUGCCAUAACGAGCGCAACCCCUCCCCUUAGUUGCCAUCAGGUUAAGCUGGGCACUCUGGGGACACUGCCACCGUAAGGUGUGAGGAAGGUGGGGA